ACUUUACGGAACCCCAGUAUUUAUUAGAUUUUAAACCAGCAUUCCGCAAGGUCUACUGAGAUGAUUCAUGAUAACUGAUCGAAUUGCUGGGUCUACCAGCAAUAAAUCAUUCAUGUUUCUGCUUCCCAUCAGCUUGAUGGUAGUGUAUUGGACAACCAUGGCAUUCACGGGCUAUCGGGGGAUUAGGGUUCGAUUCCGGAGAGGGAGCCUGAGAAACGGCUACCACUUCUACGGAAGGCAGCAGGCGCGAAAAUUAUCCAAUCCUGAUUCAGGGAGGUAGUGAAAGAAAUAAUGAACUAGGAUUUAUCCUGGGAUCACAAUGGGCUUGAUUUGCAAACUUUAUUAGCGAGGAACAAUUGGAGGGCAAGUCUGGUGCCAGCAGCCGCGGUAAUUCCAGCUCCAAUAGUGUGUAUUAAUGUUCCUGCAGUUAUUCGAUGCUCGUAGUUGGAUUUCUGGGGGCUGAUUCUGGACGGCGGCUAUGGCCGCCACCGGUUUCUUCCUUCAUCCACCUGUUAACGUUGUUCGAGAUUCAUUUCUCGGCUUCGGGCUCAGGUAUUUUACCCUUACUAUAUUCAUUUAUUUAUCUUCUUUUUGAGCAAAUUAUAGUGUUUCAGGCAGGCGUGCGCCGGAAUACUUUAGCAUGGAAUAAUCGAAUUGGACUGUGUUCCUUAUUUGUUGGUUUGAUGGGCACAGAAUGGUUAAUAGGGAUAGUAAUUUUCAGGGGAGGCAUUAGUAUUUAAUUUCCAGAGGUGAAAUUCUUUGAAAUAUUAAAGACUAACUUAUGCGAAAGCAUUUAUUUUGCCAAUAAUGUUUUCAUUAAUCAUUGAACGAAAGUUAGGGGAUCAAAGACGAUCAGAUACCGUCCUAGUCUUAACCAUAAACGUUGCGACUAGGGAUCGGAGGGCGUGCACAUUCCGCCUUCGGCACCUUACGAGAAAUCAAAGUCUUUUGGGUUCUGGGGGUAGUAUGGUCGCAAGGCUGAAACUUAAAGGAAUUGACGGAAGGGCACCACCAGGAGUGGAGCUUGCGGCUCAAUUUGACUCAACACGGGAAAUCUUACCAGGUCCAGACAUAGCGAGGAUUGACAGAUUGAUAGCUCUUUCUUGAUUCUAUGGGUAUUUUUGGUGGUGCAUGGCCGUUCUUAGUUGGUGGAGUGAUUUGUCUGGUUAAUUCCGUUAAACGAACGAGACCUCAGCCUGCUAAAUAGUUACUUGUCUUUCUUUUACGAGACAUGUUAACUUCUUAGAGGGACGUUGUGUGCAACCACAAGGAAGUUGAGGCAAUAACAGGUCUGUGAUGCCCUUAGAUGUCCUGGGCCGCACGCGUGCUACACUGAUACGUACAACGAGGUAUAUGUAUUUAUACAUCGAUGCUGC
rnacentral:rRNA from 1 species